rnacentral:rRNA from 1 species
GUCUAUGGCCAUGCCACCCUGAACAAGCCCAAUCCCGUCUGAUCUCAAAAGCUAAGCAGAGUUGGGCCUGGUUAGUACUUGGAUGAGAGACCACCUAGGAAGACCAGGUGCUGUAGGCG